rnacentral:lncRNA from 1 species
CCUCAAGACAAGAACUUAUACCACUUGAAUCCGUCUCUAAUCACAACUAGAGACACAUCACAACUUCGACCCAAUCGAAUCAACUUCCGCCAUCGCUAUAGGUUCACGUUUCGCUCACGCACCGAUAACCUUAGGGCUUACCAACCUAGGGUCUCCUAGGUCAUCCUAGACUUUCUCUCUUUACUUGCUCUUAUUGCUCUGAUGCCACAUCUGCUGUCACGCCCCGCCCCGAAACCACUGCCAAUUUGGCACGGUUCGGCCGCGGCGGCGGGCCGCCGAACGGACAGCACCUCCCCUGUCCGCCC